rnacentral:tRNA from 1 species
UAACAAAGGAAUUGAUUAUUCAUUUUUGGGGUAUGAACCCAACAGCUUAAUUUUUAGCUUACUUUAUU